CCAGCACCACGACACCUGGUUCAACUAAUUAAGUAAUCACGCUCUUCAAUCAAGACCGUGAUAAGUAGAAUCAGGUGUGUUAUUACUGAGCAAAAACGAAAAACCUGCAGCCAAUCAGCCCUUUUCAGAUUUGAAACCCCCUACUCAUGGAACAAAACCAAAAUAAUUCACCCUAACACCUUCCAAAGGCUGAUCAAGAGAGUACUGUUCCAUUCCAACAUUUUAUUAGAAAUUCUUCUCUUAAUUAUUUCUUUAGGUCAAUCAUAUCUUGAUUAGAUUUUAGCUUCUGCUGCAGGCUGCACUUGUAUCCUAACUGUUGUUUUGUGGCUCAAAAUGAAAGUCAACCAGCACUGAACAGAGAGAGCUGUUCGGAAAACUAAGCCAAAGUAAUUGGUUGAAACAAAACCCAACACAUACACUAGCCCCUCCAGGACUGCAGAUGCUGAGCAGCAAUGUUUCUCCUGGGGCUGACGAAGCUGCCAAUCCUGCUUGUGAGGAGCCGGGCUGUUCUGCACCUGUUCAUCGUCACCUGGACACCUUCAGACCCCUUUGAUCAGUAUACCGUACACCAGGGGUGGGUGUCCAAUCUGAUCUGAAAUGGGCCGAUAUGGGUGCAGAUCUUUGUUUUAGCUCAGCAUUGAGAUUUGACAUCCCUGCUAUACACCAGUCGACUCAAGCUGAUCUUGUGCAUGCUAUGGUCAGUGAGGCUAUCUUGAAUUUUUCCAUGAUCAAAUGGCAAACUUUCUACUCAGUAAGUACGGAAAGUUGUCUUGACAAAAGAGUCCUCUUCUGGGACCUGCGUUAAAGUGCCCUCGACGUUGAACGUUCUAGAAUGGAACCCAUCAAUAACUAAUGAUCAUGAAUUUUACAAGACGCGCCAGAGAAGAGCUCAAAUGACGUCUGACUGCACACCGUGCGUUCUACCUGGGGAGAGGGGGAAGAGAAACCACCAAUAAAAGCAGCCCAUCUAAAACACAUAAAUCUGCCCCCCUGCAAACCAUUAAUAGCCAUCACUGCUGACUUCAUUUAAUUGGGGUUUACUCUGUCACAAUUCACGGGCUUGGGAACUCAGACUUUUAGCCGGAAUUUCAAACAGCAUCUAUUGCAGAGGAGCAUAAAAGUGUGUCUAACCU